UACAGAGGUCCCGAGCGUGUUCGGAUUCAUUGGGCGUAAAGGGUGCGUAGGCGGCGGGCGAAGUCUGAUGUGAAAUCCCGGGGCUCAACCCCGGAACUGCAUUGGAUACUGCCUUGCUAGAGUACUGGAGAGGGAACUGGAAUUACGGUGUAGCAGUGAAAUGCGUAGAGAUCGUAAGGAAGGCCAGUGGCGAAGGCGAGUUCCUGGACAGUUACUGACGCUGAGGCACGAAGGCCAGGGAGCAAACGGG
rnacentral:rRNA from 1 species